ACAAGCGGUGGAGCAUGUGGUUUAAUUCGAAGCAACGCGAAGAACCUUACCAGGUCUUGACAUCCCUGACAACCCGAGAGAUCGGGCGUUCCCCUUCGGGGGACAGGGUGACAGGUGGUGCAUGGUUGUCGUCAGCUCGUGUCGUGAGAUGUUGGGUUAAGUCCCGCAACGAGCGCAACCCUCGACCUUAGUUGCCAUCAUUCAGUUGGGCACUCUAGCGAGACUGCCGGUAAUAACCGGAGAAGUGGGGAUGACGUCAAAUCAUCAUGCCCCUUAUGACCUGGGCUACACACGUGCUACAAUGGUUGGUACAACGAGUUGCGAGUCGGUGACGGCGAGCUAAUCUCUUAAAGCCAAUCUCAGUUCGGAUUGUAGGCUGCAACUCGCCUACAUGAAGUCGGAAUCGCUAGUAAUCGCGGAUCAGCACGCCGCGGUGAAUACGUUCCCGGGCCUU
rnacentral:rRNA from 1 species